rnacentral:rRNA from 1 species
AGAGUUUGAUCAUGGCUCAGGAUGAACGCUAGCGGCAGGCUUAAUACAUGCAAGUCGUGGGGCAGCACAGGUAGCAAUACUGGGUGGCGACCGGCAAACGGGUGCGGAACACGUACGCAACCUUCCUUUAAGCGGGGAAUAGCCCAGGGAAACUUGGAUUAAUACCCCAUAAGACAACAAGAUGGCAUCAUUUAGUUGUUAAAGCUCCGGCACUUAAAGAUGGGCGUGCGGCUGAUUAGGUAGUUGGCGGGGUAACGGCCCACCAAGCCGACGAUCAGUAACUGGUGUGAGAGCACGACCAGUCACACGGGCACUGAGACACGGGCCCGACUCCUACGGGAGGCAGCAGUAAGGAAUAUUGGUCAAUGGACGCAAGUCUGAACCAGCCAUGCCGCGUGGAGGAUGAAGGCCCUCUGGGUUGUAAACUUCUUUUAUAGGGGAAGAACUCUAUCCUUUCUAGGGUAGUUGACGGUACCCUGUGAAUAAGCACCGGCUAACUCCGUGCCAGCAGCCGCGGUAAUACGGAGGGUGCAAGCGUUAUCCGGAUUCACUGGGUUUAAAGGGUGCGUAGGUGGGCAGGUAAGUCAGUGGUGAAAUCUCCGGGCUUAACCCGGAAACUGCCGUUGAUACUAUUUGUCUUGAAUAUAGUGGAGGUGAGCGGAAUAUGUCAUGUAGCGGUGAAAUGCUUAGAUAUGACAUAGAACACCAAUUGCGAAGGCAGCUUGCUACACUAUUAUUGACACUGAGGCACGAAAGCGUGGGGAUCAAACAGGAUUAGAUACCCUAGUAGUCC